GUCGCAUUGAACCUGCUUCCAAAGAGAAAUAACUUUGCCAUACUACAGUCGCACAGCCUCCUACGCCUUUCACAAAUUAUCAAACAUGGUGAAUGGUGUUCUGAGGAUAGUUUGUUGGAGCGCUAUUUUGGUGGUUUGCGCAGCUAGUUCGAAAUCAGGCGGACAUGGCCAUUUCAAGAUAGACAUGUACCUCGUUGUUGACAAAGCGUUCACAAACCACUUCGGCGAUGACCGCACAGCAGCCGAGAAUAACGUCAGAAACGUUAUUCAUAAGGCAAGUACAUAAGCUUUUUCGUAAUCAAACACUUUUUGUUUUCAA